CCUACGGGUGGCAGCAGUGGGGAAUAUUGGACAAUGGGGGGAACCCUGAUCCAGCCAUGCCGCGUGUGUGAAGAAGGCCCUCGGGUUGUAAAGCACUUUCAGUGAGGAAGAACGCCUGGUGGUUAAUACCCAUCAGGAAAGACAUCACUCACAGAAGAAGCACCGGCUAACUCCGUGCCAGCAGCCGCGGUAAUACGGAGGGUGCGAGCGUUAAUCGGAAUUACUGGGCGUAAAGCGCGCAUAGGUGGCUUGAUAAGCCGGUUGUGAAAGCCCCGGGCUCAACCUGGGAACGGCAUCCGGAACUGUCAAGCUAGAGUGCAGGAGAGGAAGGUAGAAUUCCCGGUGUAGCGGUGAAAUGCGUAGAGAUCGGGAGGAAUACCAGUGGCGAAGGCGGCCUUCUGGACUGACACUGACACUGAGGUGCGAAAGCGUGGGUAGCAAACAGGAUUAGAUACCCUGGUAGUC
rnacentral:rRNA from 1 species